CGCGUAGGCGGCUUGGUUAGUCAGAUGUGAGAGCCCUGGGCUUAACCUGGGAACUGCAUUUGAUACUGCCGGGCUAGAGUAUGGUAGAGGGAAGUGGAAUUCCGGGUGUAGCGGUGAAAUGCGUAGAUAUCCGGAGGAACAUCAGUGGCGAAGGCGACUUCCUGGACCAAUACUGACGCUGAGGUGCGAAAGCGUGGGUAGCAAACA
rnacentral:rRNA from 1 species